UUCCAGAGAACCUGGGUUCAAUUCCCAGAACCCAUGUCAGGCAGCUCAUAAUUGCCUGCAACUCAAGCUGCCUCUGUUUUCUAUAGGUACCCACAAACUUGGCAUCAACUCACAGAGACACACGCAUGAUUGGAAAUAAAAUCUUUAAGGAAACCCCCCUCAGUUUCAUUGACAUGUUAGGCAAACAGGACUCACUCUCCAUUUACUGCCUGCUGCCGUUGUUCCCUAUGAGCAUUUGAAUUUGAAAUCUGCUUCUUUUAAAAUUGAGACAGGGCCUGGUACAGCCACCACUUGCUCCAGUCAGUUAAGACCUGGUAAGAGACAAAGGCUGGACCAUUGAUCUCCGAGGACACUUUUCUGCUCUGCUCUGAUGCCCUCCUUGGGCCAUAUCCAGGUCUUUGGAAAGGAAAUGUCCCUCAGGCUGUGUGGUCAGAGGACAACUUGGGAGAGAGAGUCACUGAUCUCUUCCUGCGUAUGGAUUCCAGGGCUUGCACGUGGUCCUCAGCUUGGCACAGUACAGCCUUCUCCACUGGGUCACCUUGCCAGCCUACUGUGUGCUACCUGAGUCUUUCUCUUCUGGUCCCUGGAGCUGCGGAAGCCGCAGGUUACCGUGCAGACAUGGCCAAGUCCAAGAACCACAACACACACAACCAGUCCCGAAAAUGGCACAGAAAUGGCAUCAAGAAACUCUGGUCGCAAAGAUAUGAAUCUCUUAAGGGGGUUGACCCCAAAUUCCUGAGGAACAUAAGCUUUGCCAAGAAGCACAAGAAGAAAGGCUUGAAGAAGAUGCAGGCCAACAAUGCAAAGGCAGUAGUGCACGCGCAAAGGCCAUCGAGGCCCUUAUGAAGCCUCAGGCCAUCAAGAACAAGAUGCCAAAGUGCCCCAGCGCAAACUCAGCCGCCUGGCUUUCGUCAGUCACCCCAAGUUUGGGAAGCAGAUUCGAAGCUACAUGGCCAAGGGUCAGAGGCUCUGCCAACUUCGAGAAGCCUAAGGUUCAGACCAAGGGAGGGGCCAAAGCUCCAGCAAAGGCCCAGGCUUCAGCUCCAGCCCAGGCUCCCAAAGGUGCCCAGGCCCCUGUGAAGGCCCCAUAGAAAAGGCUCCUGCCAGUGUGAAGGCAGAUGGACUGCUGUGACACAGCUACCCACACACUAUUUGCAGAUGACCAGUGUCCUAUUCUGUUUUUACAGAUAAACUCAGGCAAGAUCUG